AACCAGCACCUCAAGUGGUCAGGAUGAUUAUUGGGCCUAAAGCAUCCGUAGCCUGCUUUGUAAGUUCUCGGUUAAAUCCAUACGCUUAACGUAUGGGCUGCCGGCAAUACUGCAUAGCUAGGGAGUGGGAGAGGUAGACGGUACUCGGUAGGAAGGGGUAAAAUCCUUUGAUCUAUUGAUGACCACCUGUGGCGAAGGCGGUCUACCAGAACACAUCCGACGGUGAGGGAUGAAAGCUGGGGGAGCAAACCGGAUUAGAAACCCCAGUAGU
rnacentral:rRNA from 1 species